GUCAGCAAUGUACAUGAAAAAAAGUCCAGCAUAAUGUUUGGGGAUAAACCCUAUUCGUAGGGUGUUGUCUUAACUAGUCUAAUAUAUAUUAGAUAUCUUAAAGGUGCUGGAUUAGCUGGUCUCCGGGCGAUUUAGGCAACCGGCAUCCAAUAUAAUCUUGCCACGUUGUUUGGUUACAGUGGAUCAGCUACCAGGCUAGCUUAUCCUUCCAUGGGCCAACUGAUUUCUUAGCCCAGUGGUCGACGGCCUUUUAGUGGUCAUCGCAGCAUCGGUGCCGUGGUCUUCCACCGUCCUGGAUUUCCUGUGCGCUGAUCCAUCUGCGAGUCGCCUCUAUCCUCUCGACGCGUGUCGUCCUUAUCCAGCCAUCAGGGACGCCUCCAACGCCCAGCGGCCCAGCCCCACAUGGUGGCCCCUCUCUCAAUCUCCACGGUAGUGCUCUGCCAUGGAGUACAGUGGCGAUGGGGUUGGCUGCUGCUCUGCCAUAGUGUACGGCGGCAACGGGUUGGCUGCUGCUCGCUGCUCCACUACGCAGAGAACCCCAUGAGGACCAAGGGAGGCUGUGCUCUUGGAUUGGUGUCUCUUCCACAUCGCAUCUUGUUUUGGGGGGAGGGAGGGGGGCAUCUUUGCCUCCCUCAGCUACUGCUCACUGAGUUGCGCGGCCAACCCUUACCGAGACGUGGUUUUGCUGCCCGCCGAGCCAUCCACAUUGCUCCUUCCACUUCUCCGCAUCCGCUCGUCGUCCUCGUCCUCUCCGCAUCCGCAUCUCUUCCCAAUAUUUUUGUUCUUCACUGUAGCUGCACGUACAGCGAGCUUGAAUGGCAUCACAUACUCCCCAUCCCGUCCUCAGCAUCGGCGUCCCACAUGGCAUCGCAACGUCGCCUUCUUCUUCGGCAUCAGGUCAACUCGGUGGCUCACUGCUAGCACAGAUGGCGGGCGGGGAGUGGAUCUUUCAGUUCUUCCUCAGCGACUUGCCCGACGGUGUUGCUAGCUGACGCAGCCAUUUCCGCAAUGGCAGAAAUCGGUGUACGAUCUACCUAUUCUCCUCCGGUACAGUCUCCCUUCUCUUAUCUCUCAUCUAACAUAGAUUCAAGUGGUUCUGAAUUUAGGCUAAAUUUAUCAGAUGUUUGUUUGCGAAGUUCGUUUCAAGAUUCGGAUAGAACCCAAUACAUUUCCGAAUAUUGGUGCCUCGAGAUUUCUCUCUAUUUUUUUAAUUUUGCCUUCUGAUAAUUUGAACUCUGAGCCAAUUCCUCUACCCUCUGAUGGAAAGAGAGUUGAUGUGAUGAGGCAAGACAGGAACUGGUGAGCUUCCCUGAAACCUGUUGAUUCCCUGGCAACAUAGAUGUUUUAUUAGGAUGAGUUCUCACAUUAAUAGGUUCCUUCCAUUAGGGCUUUUAAUGUUCUAAACUUUUGAUUGGUGACAGAAGUUACAAUUACUCUCAUCCUCUCCUGCGAAUGAGAUUCUAUUCAUUUUUCUGUUCCUGUAUUUUAAGCAUGUCAGUAUGCCACUACUUUGUUGUCCAAAACUGAACUCCAAAUAAAGGUCAAGGUGGCCAGCUUAGGAUUGAAACAAGUUUAGCAGAAUCUUUUUAAACAAAUUAUUUGGUGUUUUUCAGCAUACAGGUAAACAGACGGCUAGACUUCAUGAUAAUUCAUGCUAAUGUUGGGAGGGGCAAUCCACUAUGCUCAGCUCAUGGAUCUUCAGGAAUGGAGCUGCCAGCAUAUAAAUGACAAACAAAUACAAGAUUCUCCUCAAGGACUGUAACAAGAUUGAAGCUCAUGCUUAGCUGGAAAACCAUUUGAAAUACCUAUGGAAUUAUCCCUACACAUGUGUUAACCAUGAUGAUCUUUUCUUUUCGAAAUACUGUAAGGCAGGUAGAUCCAUCAUCUUUGUCAACAACAACUGCCUUAGCUAUACUAGAAUACGAGGGGCAUCUAAGAGAAAAAUACAAAUAUUCAAGACUCUCAUACUAGUUUGGUAGGUGAUGUAUAUUUGUUUCUUACAUUUACAUCGUCCAUUGAUUCACAGUGGAUACAUUACUUGUUGCAUUUAGAUGUCUCUUUUCAGGAACCUUUAUAUUUAAGUUCCUUUACAUGGCUGUUUUAAGAGUCCACUGCUUUGAUUAGUAACAUAACAUUGACUGAAAUGAGGAUUUGUUCAUUAAUUUGACGUUUCUUCUACUGUCUCGGUAACAUCUCUCCAUGUGCUGACUUAAUUCUCCAAACUUUGAGUUCUACUGACUUAGUAACAUCUUUCAAUAUGCUGAGUUAAUUCUCCAAACUAUUAACUUAAGAAUGAUUUAACUUGGCACAUAUUUUUCUUAGUGUUCAAGAAAUGAUUUUAGCAGAUGAUUGCCAUUGCAUUUGGUGAUCUAAAUUGACUAAAUUGCUGAGGCAGAUAUGUUUCUUGCACAGAAAGCUCUCAUAGUGAAGAGUCAAGUCUCUUCGUAAAACUAAUGAAUCUGAAAUGUAGUCGUUUUUUCAUACCAUAAUUGAUAAAUGCACUACUGUUGUCUCAUCUGACUGGGUUUUUGGCCAGUUCUAGAGUUUACAGGUAUUAUCUUAAUACUGCAGUUCUCGCAAACAAAAUUACGAGAAAUUUAACCAUGUACCUUUUUCAGUUAGUUGACAGAACGAAUUGCAUCUUGUGCCCAUAGAUAUUGGAUGAAUCAUAGUAUGCUUGUCAUCCCUGCUAUGUAUUGUGAAAUUAUUGUGAAAUUAUUUUUUAAAUUAUUAACUAUCUAGAACUGUUUCUGGGAACUUAAGUUAUUAAAAAAACUAUUCAGGUUAAAUAAUGUUCUUGGUAGGUACACUAGGAAUUGAGUAUUGUUAGUAGGUAAUCCACUUAGACAAACCUUUGCAUUAAUCGUAUAUUUCUUUCUAUGUGUUACAGUCUUACAUGCUACAAUACCGCGCAGCGUAGCGCGCGAGCUCACUCUAGUAUAUAUAACGGACUAAAAUGUUUCUAGAACAAUGCCACUCUAAUGUACAGAAUAGAGUUAAGGGCAAUUAUGUAAUUUCUCGUUACAUAUGAAUAAAAAGAACCCCGAGAGGUAAAGGUGGA